CCGAAAGGCAGGAGUGCCUGCAAGGGAGCGCGGAGACAGGUGGUGCAUGGCUGUCGUCAGCUCGUGUCGUGAGAUGUUGGGUUAAGUCCCGCAACGAGCGCAACCCUCACCUCUUGUUGCCAUCAGGUCAUGCUGGGCACUCUAGAGGAACUGCCCCGGUCAACGGGGAGGAAGGCGGCCAUGACGUCAAGUCAUCAUGCCCCUUACGUCCUGGGCUACCCACGUGC
rnacentral:rRNA from 1 species